AAACCAACCAAACUCUAUAGAGCUUAAAUCAAUUAAUAAUGGUGGCUUCUUUUGGUUCCCAUGGUUUGGUACUUCGCACAACGGCUCUCUACCUUUCUAAAGGCGUCAGUGCCCUUCUUUUCCUUUGCUUGGUCGAUUGGUUUACCUUGAAUCAAUGCGAAUAUAAAUCCAAAGAAACCAAUAAAACUAGAUUUGUUUAUAGAGGUUGCGUGAUCCAGCCGGACAAGACUAACAUGAAAAUUUAUCAGGCGAUACAAGAAUCGAUCCAAGAUCUUGAUCCCAUAGCCACAUGGUUUAGGUGUAGAGUAUAAAUAAU
rnacentral:lncRNA from 1 species